GAUGAACGCUAGCUACAGGCUUAACACAUGCAAGUCGAGGGGCAGCAUUGGAGUAGCAAUACUUCAGAUGGCGACCGGCGCACGGGUGAGUAACACGUAUCCAACCUGCCGCUUACUCGGGGAUAGCCUUUCGAAAGAAAGAUUAAUACCCGAUGGUAUAAAGAGUUCGCAUGUUCUCUUUAUUAAAGAAUUUCGGUAAGCGAUGGGGAUGCGUUCCAUUAGAUUGUUGGCGGGGUAACGGCCCACCAAGUCUACGAUGGAUAGGGGUUCUGAGAGGAAGGUCCCCCACAUUGGAACUGAGACACGGUCCAAACUCCUACGGGAGGCAGCAGUGAGGAAUAUUGGUCAAUGGACGAGAGUCUGAACCAGCCAAGUAGCGUGAAGGAUGACUGCCCUAUGGGUUGUAAACUUCUUUUAUAAGGGAAUAAAGUGAGGGACGUGUCCCUUUUUGUAUGUACCUUAUGAAUAAGGAUCGGCUAACUCCGUGCCAGCAGCCGCGGUAAUACGGAGGAUCCGAGCGUUAUCCGGAUUUAUUGGGUUUAAAGGGAGCGUAGGUUGACAUAUAAGUCAGCUGUGAAAGUUUACGGCUCAACCGUGAAAUUGCAGUUGAUACUGUAUGUCUUGAGUGUACAAGAGGUGGGCGGAAUUCGUGGUGUAGCGGUGAAAUGCUUAGAUAUCACGAAGAACUCCAAUUGCGAAGGCAGCUCACUGGGGUACAACUGACACUGAGGCUCGAAAGUGUGGGUAUCAAACAGGAUUAGAUACCCUGGUAGUCCACACAGUAAACGAUGAAUACUCGCUGUUUGCGAUAUACAGUAAGCGGCCAAGCGAAAGCAUUAAGUAUUCCACCUGGGGAGUACGCCGGCACGGUGAAACUCAA
rnacentral:rRNA from 1 species